rnacentral:rRNA from 1 species
UGGGGAAUAUUGGACAAUGGGCGAAAGCCUGAUCCAGCCAUGCCGCGUGUGUGAAGAAGGUCUUCGGAUUGUAAAGCACUUUAAGUUGGGAGGAAGGGCAGUAAGCGAAUACCUUGCUGUUUUGACGUUACCGACAGAAUAAGCACCGGCUAACUCUGUGCCAGCAGCCGCGGUAAUACAGAGGGUGCAAGCGUUAAUCGGAAUUACUGGGCGUAAAGCGCGCGUAGGUGGUUCGUUAAGUUGAAUGUGAAAGCCCCGGGCUCAACCUGGGAACUGCAUCCAAAACUGGCGAGCUAGAGUAGGGCAGAGGGUGGUGGAAUUUCCUGUGUAGCAGUGAAAUGCGUGGAUAUAGGAAGGAACACCAGUGGCGAAGGCGACCACCUGGGCUCAUACUGACACUGAGGUGCGAAAGCGUGGGGAGCAAACAGG